rnacentral:rRNA from 1 species
GACGAACGCUGGCGGCGUGCUUAACACAUGCAAGUCGAGCGGUAAGGCCCUUUCGGGGGUACACGAGCGGCGAACGGGUGAGUAACACGUGGGUGACCUGCCCUCAGCUCUGGGAUAAGCCUGGGAAACCGGGUCUAAUACCGGAUAUGACUCCAUGACGCAUGUUGUGGGGUGAAAGCCUUGUGCGGCUGAGGAUGGGCCCGCGGCCUAUCAGCUUGUUGGUGGGGUNAUGGCCUACCAAGGCGACGACGGGUAGCCGGCCUGAGAGGGCGACCGGCCACACUGGGGACUGAGACACGGCCCAGACUCCUACGGGAGGCAGCAGUGGGGAAUUUUGGACAAUGGGGAAACCCUGAUCCAGCCAUGCCGCGUGUGUGAAGAAGGCCU